rnacentral:rRNA from 1 species
CUCGCCUAAGGGGGGCAGCAGUAGGGAAUUUUCGUCAAUGGGCGCAAGCCUGAUCGAGCAAUGCCGCGUGAACGAGGAAGGUCUUCGGAUCGUAAAGUUCUGUUGAAGGGGAAAAAGAGCGGAGAGAGGAAAUGAACUCCGAUUGAUAUUACCCUUCGAGGAAGUCACGGCUAACUACGUGCCAGCAGCCGCGGUAAUACGUAGGUGGCGAGCGGUAUCCGGAAUGAUUGGGCGUAAAGGGUGCGUAGGCGGCCUGCUAAGUCUGGAGUGAAAGGUACCGGCCCAACCGGUACAGGCUCUGGAAA